AUGCAGGAUGGCCACCCCAUUGCUUAUGUGAGCAAAGCUCUUGGGCCUAGAAAUCAGACACUUUCAGUAUAUGAGAAGGAAUACUUGGCCAUUCUUCUAGCAGUGGAACACUGGCGCCAGUAUUUGCAGUUAUCUGAAUUCACCAUCAGGACUAAUCAAAGAAGCCUGGCCUGUCUGACAGAGCAACGUUUACAUACUAGGUGGCAAUAGAAAGCACUCACUAAACUGCUUGGGCUGGAGUAUUCCAUUGAAUAUAAAAAAGGGAUUGAAAAUAGUGCUGCUGAUUCCCUUUCCAAACGGCAUGCAACUCCAAGGGACAUAAUACCAGAACUGCAACAUAUUUCAUCUGCCCAGCCUGCUUGGUUAACAUAUGUCCUGCAAAGUUAUGAUCAAGAUCUAGCAGCUCUGGAACUCCUGCAACAACUAUCCACGUCGCCCGCUUCUCACAACAAAUUCACUCUCAAAGCUGGUGUAAUCAUACAGGGGCAGUGUGUUUGGUUGGGUUGUGACUUAGCACUGCACACUAAGAUAUGUGCUGCUUUUCAUGAUAGUCCGCUGGGAGGACAUUCUGGAUUCCCAGUAACUUACAGGCGUGUCAGGCAGUUAUUUCGAUGGAAGGGCAUGCGAGGUUUCAUUAAAAACUAUGUUCAGAGCUGUCUAGUGUGCCAACAGGCCAAACUUGAAAGAAUUCCUUCUCCUGGUCUUCUUCAGCCUCUACCAAUACCUUCAUUGCCUUAG
rnacentral:rRNA from 1 species